UGAGGCCUGAACUCGAGUCCAGAGCCUGGACUCAGGUUCUGAGCAGGAAGAAAACCAAACAAAUCCCCAUCACCAACCCUGGGAAGCCAGACCCAGACCUGGAGAGAUUAUCUCCCCUAACCAGUACUCACUUCAGGAGCUGAACCCAAAUGUACCAGAAAUGUCCCAUUCUUCAGUGCCCACUCACCAAAACAAGAAACAUACCAGGUGAGAGUUGGCUGAGAAACGAGGGGCCUAGGCCUGCGUCUAGGCCUGCGUCUUGCCCUUUUAAAGGAUGCACACUCUGCAACAGAAGGGUGUAGACGGAAGGAGGCAGUCAGGGCCAAGAAACAUAAAAUAACUUGGUGCUGGGACUUUGUUGGAUCAACUUGCUCCCUUGGAGCUUGCCCCUGUUGGAGACAAGACUAAGCCAGAAUAAAACCAAAAGAGCUGGAAAUAUGGAGCAGGAAGAAGUGCUAGGAAAUUACCUCUGUUUAAAUAAUCCAGUUGAGACCUUUGUUAAUGAAAAAAGAAAGUACUGUUACCUACAUUGAGAACAGAGUAAAUCACUGAGAAACUAACGUGAGUGUCCAUUAGUUAGUUAGAACAUUCCUAGAUUCAUUGACCCAGCACCAGAUACUGUUCCCCAGUCCCCUCCUUCCCCACCCUCCCAGAGUCAUUGCAAUUUGUGAUAAAUGCAACAUUUCAGAAUUGCAGUAGAAAAUAUGGCCAUUUUAAAAAAUCGUUCUUGUCUUCCAGUCCUUUGCUGAGUUUACAAUGCAGGAUGAAAUCACCCAGGAGAAGGUUUGCUUGCCUGCUUUCUUGCCCACUUGGGCACAUGCCCCCACCUCGGAUCUCUUCCUGAGGUGGGUAGAUCACUUGGAUCCCGUAUGCACUGUUGUUACUGUGGUCUGCCUAGGUCUUCUCUCUCCUACUGCAGAAACGCCAGAUGAAGCUGAUGAUGCAAAACUACAGAGAGUGGAUGUGGCCAUACCUGAAAGAGAGAGAAAAGGAAAGAAGAUUCAGAGAUAUCAUCCCAAUAUGGAGAGUCAAAUUCAUAUUCUGCCUUAAGGAUCUGCUCAAAAAGCUUGGAAUCAUUUUCAUCAUAGAAGGGAGGAUACCCA